rnacentral:rRNA from 1 species
CUUUAUGAAUAAGGAUCGGCUAACUCCGUGCCAGCAGCCGCGGUAAUACGGAGGAUCCGAGCGUUAUCCGGAUUUAUUGGGUUUAAAGGGAGCGUAGAUGGAUGGUUAAGUCAGUUGUGAAAGUUUGCGGCUCAACCGUAAAAUUGCAGUUGAUACUGGAUGUCUUGAGUGCAGUUGAGGCAGGCGGAAUUCGUGGUGUAGCGGUGAAAUGCUUAGAUAUCACGAAGAACUCCGAUUGCGAAGGCAGCCUGCUAAGCUGCAACUGACAUUGAGGCUCGAAAGUGUGGGUAUCAAACA